AUUGAACGCUGGCGGCAUGCCUUACACAUGCAAGUCGAACGGCAGCACGGGAGCAAUCCUGGUGGCGAGUGGCGAACGGGUGAGUAAUACAUCGGAACGUGCCCAAUCGUGGGGGAUAACGCAGCGAAAGCUGUGCUAAUACCGCAUACGAUCUACGGAUGAAAGCAGGGGAUCGCAAGACCUUGCGCGAAUGGAGCGGCCGAUGGCAGAUUAGGUAGUUGGUGAGGUAAAGGCUCACCAAGCCGUUGAUCUGUAGCUGGUCUGAGAGGACGACCAGCCACACUGGGACUGAGACACGGCCCAGACUCCUACGGGAGGCAGCAGUGGGGAAUUUUGGACAAUGGGCGAAAGCCUGAUCCAGCCAUGCCGCGUGCAGGAUGAAGGCCUUCGGGUUGUAAACUGCUUUUGUACGGAACGAAACGGCCUUUUCUAAUAAAGAGGGCUAAUGACGGUACCGUAAGAAUAAGCACCGGCUAACUACGUGCCAGCAGCCGCGGUAAUACGUAGGGUGCAAGCGUUAAUCGGAAUUACUGGGCGUAAAGCGUGCGCAGGCGGUUAUGUAAGACAGUUGUGAAAUCCCCGGGCUCAACCUGGGAACUGCAUCUGUGACUGCAUAGCCAGAGUACGGUAGAGGGGGAUGGAAUUCCGCGUGUAGCAGUGAAAUGCGUAGAUAUGCGGAGGAACACCGAUGGCGAAGGCAAUCCCCUGGACCUGUACUGACGCUCAUGUACGAAAGCGUGGGGAGCAAACAGG
rnacentral:rRNA from 1 species